GACGAACGCUGGCGGCGUGCUUAAACACAUGCAAGUCGAACGGGAGUAUUGAAGAAGCUUGCUUUAGAGAUACUUUAGUGGCGGACGGGUGAGUAACGCGUGAGGAGCUGUCCUAUGCAGGGGGACAACAGCUGGAAACGGCUGCUAAUACCCCAUAAGCCGAGAGGUAAAAGGAUCAAUCCGGCAGAGGAGGUACUCGCGUCCUAUCAGCUAGUAGGUGAGGUAACGGCUCACCUAGGCGAAGACGGGUAGCCGGCCUGAGAGGGCGAACGGCCACACUGGAACUGAGAUACGGUCCAGACUCCUACGGGAGGCAGCAGUGGGGAAUAUUGGGCAAUGGGGGAAACCCUGACCCAGCGACGCCGCGUGGGUGAAGAAAUCCUUCGGGAUGUAAAGCCCUGUUGUAUGGGAAGAGCGGAAGACGGUACCAUACGAGGAAGCCCCGGCAAACUACGUG
rnacentral:rRNA from 1 species